CCAUCUCUGUCUCUCUCUCUGUCCUCUCUUCCUCCAUCUCUGUCUCUCCUCUGUAGUGAAGUGUGCUCGGAGCGUCCCAGGCUACUUUGCAGAGACUCUGUACUAUUCGAUGUCGGGUGGUGGAACUGACGACCAGACCUUAAUCAGAGUGAUGGUGAGUCGUAGUGAGGUGGACAUGUUGGAUAUCAGAGCUGAUUACAGACGCCUCUACACCAAGUCUCUGCACUCUGCUAUACAGGGAGAUACCUCUGGUGACUACCGUAAGGCCCUCCUCUUGCUCUGUGGCGGUGACGACGCGUAACAGUGGCGAUGAUCCCUGAAGGAGCGUACCUGUAGAGAAACCUCCAUUAUCUGACUGGCCCCUCUAGCUGUCAAUCACUCUCUGAGUCCUGUGUAACCCAAUAGGAGAGCUCUGCUGGCCACGGUGCAGCACUGUGAUAGGUUAAAUCCUGUGUGUAUCUGUAGCUAACAUCCUUAAAGCUUUACUCUGAUUCAUAUCUACAUCACUAAAGUCAUAUUAAUGCUGACAGUCAUGUUUUACUGUCAGUUAUAUAACAACUAAAGACUGGUCAUGUUUUACUAUCAGUUAUAUAACAACUAAAGACUGUUUUCAUAUUUUUACUGUUUGU